rnacentral:rRNA from 1 species
GCUAAACGCGAAGAACCUUACCCAGGCUUGACAUCCCUGGAAGGUCUCCGAAAGGAGACUGUGCCUUCGGGAAUCAGGUGACAGGUGCUGCAUGGCCGUCGUCAGCUCGUGUCGUGAGAUGUUUGGUUAAGUCCAUUAACGAGCGCAACCCUUGUAAGUAGUUGAAUUUUUCUACUUAGACCGCCUCGGUAACGGGGAGGAAGGAGGGGAUGAUGUCAGGUCAGUAUUGCCCUUACGCCUGGGGCUACAAACACGCUACAAUGGCCGGUACAAAGGGCAGCCAACCCGCGAGGGGGAGCAAAUCCCAUCAAAACCGGUCCCAGUUCGGAUAGCAGGCUGAAAUUCGCCUGCUUGAAGUCGGAAUCGCUAGUAACGGUGAGUCAGCUAUAUUACCGUGAAUACGUUCCCGGGUCUUGUACACACCG